AUUGAACGCUGGCGGCAGGCUUAACACAUGCAAGUCGAGCGGAGAGAGGUAGCUUGCUACUGAUCUUAGCGGCGGACGGGUGAGUAAUGCUUGGGAAUCUGCCUAUUAGUGGGGGACAACAUUUCGAAAGGAAUGCUAAUACCGCAUACGUCCUACGGGAGAAAGCAGGGGAUCUUCGGACCUUGCGCUAAUAGAUGAGCCUAAGUCGGAUUAGCUAGUUGGUGGGGUAAAGGCCUACCAAGGCGACGAUCUGUAGCGGGUCUGAGAGGAUGAUCCGCCACACUGGGACUGAGACACGGCCCAGACUCCUACGGGAGGCAGCAGUGGGGAAUAUUGGACAAUGGGCGGAAGCCUGAUCCAGCCAUGCCGCAUGUGUGAAGAAGGCCUUAUGGUUGUAAAGCACUUUAAGCGAGGAGGAGGCUACUUUAGUUAAUACCUAGAGAUAGUGGAUGUUACUCGCAGAAUAAGCACCGGCUAACUCUGUGCCAGCAGCCGCCGUAAGAC
rnacentral:rRNA from 1 species